AUUGAACGCUGGCGGCAGGCCUAACACAUGCAAGUCGAGCGGAUGAAGAGAGCUUGCUCUCUGAUUCAGCGGCGGACGGGUGAGUAAUGCCUAGGAAUCUGCCUGGUAGUGGGGGAUAACGUUCCGAAAGGAACGCUAAUACCGCAUACGUCCUACGGGAGAAAGCAGGGGACCUUCGGGCCUUGCGCUAUCAGAUGAGCCUAGGUCGGAUUAGCUAGUUGGUGAGGUAAUGGAUCACCAAGGCGACGAUCCGUAACUGGUCUGAGAGGAUGAUCAGUCAGACUGGAACUGAGACACGGGCCAGACUCCUACGGGAGGCAGCAGUGGGGAAUAUUGGACAGUGGGCGAAAGCCUGAACCAUCCAUGCCGCGUGUGUGAAGAAGGUCUUCGGAUUGUAAAGCACUUUAAGUUGGGAGGAAGGGCAUUAACCUAAUACGUUAGUGUUUUGACGUUACCGACAGAAUAAGCACCGGCUAACUUCGUGCCAGCAGCCGCCGCGGUAA
rnacentral:rRNA from 1 species